ensembl:lncRNA
CAGAUCAGCACAGAACACACUGGGGCGCUUUAGCCGCCCCAUACGCGCACACACAAACACCCUCAAACUCCACGCUGGUCUCACGACGUUAUUUGGGCCCGCUGCUUCGCAGCAACCCUAUCGUCAAGCCCGCAGCAGGACCCUGAGCUGGUUUCAGUGAUCGUUCCUUCUUGUUGUUGUGUUUCUACAGAGCGAUCCACCAGGAGCUCAACACCCACCGACGUGAUUGUUCCUCAUGACAAGCAACGAUGGCACUGAUGUGUCUGAUCCGCCGCUACGCCUCAAAGGCAGACGAGCAAGACGCAAAGGCGGCAGCAGCAGAUACUACCAGCCAUAUUAAAGACUUCCCCCGCAAACUCUUUGAGCUGUGAAAUGUUUGACGCUUUAAGAGAGCAGCCAAAGCAGGUUGCCAGCAUGUCUUAUCCUGUCUUCCUUCUCUCACCCCAACCGGUCGCAGCAGAUGGCCCCGCCCCUCCCUGAUCCUGGUUCUGCUGGAGGUUUCUUCCUGUCAAAAGGGAGUUUUUCCUUCCCACUGUCGCCAAAGUGCUUGCUCAUAGGGGGUCAUAUAAUUGUUGGUUUUUGUCUGUAUGUAUUAUUGUAGAUACAGGAGCCAGAAGUGCAAAAAUACUAACUCAUUUCCAGGUUUUACCUCAUGCACCACUGUGAAAAGCUGCAUGAGGUGUAUGUUGAGCAGGAAAUAGCAUUGAAUAGCCAAACAGCUUUUCCCUAUAGAUUUCUGCAGACAUGGUUAAAGCAAAGAUCAAUUAGCUACAGAUUUUCAGUGUGGUUAUAAAUAGAGCGCUGUGUGUUAUGUUAAAAAAGCCCAUCAUAUUAUUAGACAUCACUGACCCCCCACUAACUCCUGGCCAACCCCCACCAGCUCUCCCACUGCCACAGAAUGACGGAUCGAUUGAAGAGUGACAGCAGUGAGGAAAUAGAGAGAGAUUCGGGAUUUACAUUGUCCUCUGACACGCUCAUAUAAACGCCCCCCAUGAUAAAGAGACUAGACUCUGACAAGGACAGCGGUCCUCGUUUAGCUGCUCACAAGUUAAAAGAUUUGCCAUCUCCCCUCCCUCUUCCCCUCUUUCUCUCUGUCUCUCUCUUUUAGCAGAUUUCAGUGCAAAGCAUAUAACCUUUGUGAAUUAUUUAGUUUAUUGACCUCUGUGGGGAUUUAAUAUGAAGGUCGUUUCCUGCUGGCAGAGCAAGUGCCGGCGGGGUCCUCAGGUGACACGGCCAAGGUCACUCGUCUCCCUCCAGUUAAUAAUAUAUUUGUCACACGCAGUGUGUUAGCCCCCGACACAGCACUACUGCCUUCCACUUGAUUAGUGCAACCAAUAAGGACUGCCAAAGAUAAUAAAGUAGACAUUGGCUUAAGGAGAUGUGUCAAAUGUCCACAGCAUCUCUCCCUAUCUCCUCCCACACAUUCUCUGAGCACGAACACACACACACACAAAUUCACACCCUCUCUUUCCCUCCUCCUCUUCCUC